rnacentral:misc_RNA from 1 species
CGCCAAACUACAAAACCAGUCAAGGUUUAAGUCACAAAUGAGCAAAUGAAAAUCAUCACCACUAGAACAACAAUCUUUUUGCCAAAGUAUACAAGAGAAUUAGAAGUCCACACUCAGGUAGUCUACAAUUAUUCAAUCAUUUUCCCAAUUAUUUCUUUUCAGUUAGUAUUUUGUCCAUUCUCAACGCCAAGACCAUACAGAACACCUGCAUAUUUCUCUGCGGAGCCGCUGAA